rnacentral:rRNA from 1 species
GCAGCUUGCUGCGGGUACUCGAGUGGCGAACGGGUGAGUAACACGUGGGUGAUCUGCCUUGCACUUCGGGAUAAGCUUGGGAAACUGGGUCUAACACCGGAUAGGACAGCUGUUUAGUGUCAGUUGUGGAAAGUUUUUUCGGUGCAAGAUGAGCUCGCGGCCUAUCAGCUUGUUGGUGGGGUAAUGGCCUACCAAGGCGUCGACGGGUAGCCGGCCUGAGAGGGUGUACGGCCACAUUGGGACUGAGAUACGGCCCAGACUCCUACGGGAGGCAGCAGUGGGGAAUAUUGCACAAUGGGCGGAAGCCUGAUGCAGCGACGCCGCGUGGGGGAUGAAGGCCUUCGGGUUGUAAACUCCUUUCGACAGGGACGAAGCGUAAGUGACGGUACCUGUAUAAGAAGCACCGGCUAACUACGUGCCAGCAGCCGCGGUAAUACGUAGGGUGCGAGCGUUGUCCGGAAUUACUGGGCGUAAAGAGCUCGUAGGUGGUUUGUCGCGUCGUCUGUGAAAUUCCGGGGCUUAACUCCGGGCGUGCAGGCGAUACGGGCUGACUUGAGUGCUGUAGGGGAGACUGGAAUUCCUGGUGUACGGUGAAAUGCGCAGAUAUCAGGAGGAACACCGAUGGCGAAGGCAGGUCUCUGGGCAGUAACUGACGCUGAGGAGCGAAAGCAUGGGUAGCGAACAGGAUUAGAUACCCUGGUAGUCCAUGCCGUAAACGGUGGGCGCUAGGUGUAGGGGGCUUCCACGUCUUCUGUGCCGUAGCUAACGCAUUAAGCGCCCCGCCUGGGGAGUACGGC